rnacentral:misc_RNA from 1 species
GAUGAAGAACGCAGUAAAAUGCGAUAAUUAAUGUGAAUUGCAGAAUUCAGUGAAUCAUCGAGUCUUUGAACGCACAUUACGCCCCCUGGUAUUCCGGGGGGCAUGCCUGUCCGAGCGUCAUUGCUGCCCUCAAGCACGGCUUGUGUGUUGGGCUUCCGUCCCUGGCAACGGGGACGGGCCCAAAAGGCAGUGGCGGCACCAUGUCUGGUCCUCGAGCGUAUGGGGCUUUGUCACCCGCUCCCGUAGGUCCAGCUGGCAGCUAGCCUCGCAACCAAUCUUUUUAACCAGGUUGACCUCGGAUCAGGUAGGGAUACCCGCUGAACUUAAGCAUAUCAAUAAGCGGAGGA